rnacentral:rRNA from 1 species
CCCUUAGAUGUUCUGGGCCGCACGCGCGCUACACUGAUGCGUUCAACAAGUUUCCUUGGCCGAGAGGCCUGGGCAAUCUUCUUAAUAUGUAUCGUGAUAGGGAUAGAUUAUUGCAAUUAUUAAUCUUGAACGAGGAAUUCCUAGUAAACGCAGAUCAUCAAUCUGCAUUGAUUACGUCCCUGCCCUUUGUACACACCGCCCGUCGUACCUACCGAUUGGAUGUUCCGGUGAAGCCUCGGGAUGAGGACUGGUGCCUUUAUUGGCAUGAGUUGUUCAGAACUUGUCUAAACCUUAUCAUCUAGAGGAAGGUGAAGUCGUAACA